CUCCUGGCUAGUACAGUGGUAACACGCUGGCCUCGCAUUCCCGAGGUCGAGAGAUCGCGCCUCGUCCAGGCAAGA